rnacentral:tRNA from 1 species
GCCCGGCUAGCUCAAUCGGUAGAGCGUGAGACUCUUAAUCUCAAGGUUGUGGGUUCGACCCCCACGUCGGGC